AACAGAUUCUCCCCUAGAACCUUGGGAAGGAACACAGCUGUACUGACUCUGUGAUUGUAGCCCUGAACACAAGCCUCUCUUCUCCCUCAGCCUCAUUUCUUCCACUGAGACCAGAGACGGAGAUUUCAAGCAUCCCCAUCCUGUCCCUCUUGGUCUAGUUCAGCAGGAAGAAGACAAAAGCCAGAAGACCUGGAUUGCAUGCCUCACUUGUUACCAUGUCACCAUGUCAUAUUCACCAUGUCACCUCAAGCCAGAUUCCAAACUUUUAUAUCUCAUUCUGAAACCAGAGCACCUUAAUGGUUGUCCUCCUCUCUCUGUCUUCAGGAAUAAAAGCAUUCCAGUUCUAGCAAUGGAAGUGGAG
ensembl:lncRNA